CCUACGGGUGGCAGCAGUGGGGAAUAUUGGGCAAUGGGCGCAAGCCUGACCCAGCAACGCCGCGUGAAGGAAGACGGCUUUCGGGUUGUCAACUUCUUUUCUGCGGGACGAAGAACGUGACGGUACCUCAGGAAUAAGCCACGGCUAACUACGUGCCAGCAGCCGCGGUAAUACGUAGGUGGCAAGCGUUAUCCGGAUUUAUUGGGUGUAAAGUGCGUGUAGGCGGGAAAGCAAGUCAGAUGUGAAAACUCAGGGCUCAACCCUGAGCCUGCAUUUGAAACUGUUUUUCUUGAGUGCUGGAGAGGCAAUCGGAAUUCCGUGUGUAGCGGUGAAAUGCGUAGAUAUACGGAGGAACACCAGUGGCGAAGGCGGAUUGCUGGACAGUAACUGACGCUGAGGCGCGAAAGCGUGGGGAGCAAACAGGAUUAGAUACCCUUGUAGUC
rnacentral:rRNA from 1 species